ACACGAUUAGUACAAUUGAAUAUUUUUGGUUAAUAUAGUUAUUAGUAUAUUUGAGUUUUAUUUUAAUUUUAUUAGGUGAAAUUUCAUUUUUUAGUAUAACUCUUUAUUAUGAACCUAUGAAACUUAAGAGAUAAACUAGGAUUAGAUACCCUAUUAUUUUAAGUGUUAAUUUAAAUUGCCUGGGUAGUAUUAGUUAGGGUCUUUAAACUCAAAGAAUUUGGCGGUAUUUCAUUCCAUUCAGAGGAACCUGUCUCGUAAUUGAUAGUACACAAUUAACUUUACUUAAUUUAUUUGUUUGUAUAUCUCCGUUAUCGGAAAAUCUUUUUGGAGUCAUAAUUUUCCUGUUUUUCCAUUAAAAAUUAUCUCAGGUCAAGGUGCAGUUUAUAGUUAAGUGUAUGAUGGGUUACAAUAAAUUUUUUUAUUAUGAAUUUGGUUUUGGAAUAUUCUAAUGAAGGUGGAUUUGAUAGUAAUUUAAUUUAUUUAAUUUAAUUGA
rnacentral:rRNA from 1 species